AACGAACGCUGGCGGCAGGCUUAACACAUGCAAGUCGAACGCCCCGCAAGGGGAGUGGCAGACGGGUGAGUAACGCGUGGGAACGUACCCUUUACUACGGAAUAACUCAGGGAAACUUGUGCUAAUACCGUAUGUGCCCUUCGGGGGAAAGAUUUAUCGGUAAAGGAACGGCCCGGGUUGGAUUAGAUAGUUGGUGGGGUAAAGGCCUACCAAGGCGACGAUCCAUAGCUGGUCUGAGAGGAUGAUCAGCCACAUUGGGACUGAGACACGGCCCAAACUCCUACGGGAGGCAGCAGUGGGGAAUAUUGGACAAUGGGCGCAAGCCUGAUCCAGCCAUGCCGCGUGAGUGAUGAAGGCCCUAGGGUUGUAAAGCUCUUUCACCGGUGAAGAUAAUGACGGUAACCGGAGAAGAAGCCCCGGCUAACUUCGUGCCAGCCGCCGCAGUAAGAC
rnacentral:rRNA from 1 species